rnacentral:tRNA from 1 species
GGGGGAUUAGCUCAGAUGGCUAGAGCGCCUGCCUUGCACGCAGGAGGUCAUCGGUUCGAUUCCGAUAUUCUCCA